rnacentral:snoRNA from 1 species
AGCUCCCCACUCCCAACCCGUGGGUAUUUAAACAGUGAUGAGCACAGCAAAGGGGCCUUGUCACUUUUGGGGGGCUGUGCUGUACCCCCAGAGUGAAUCAGGAGGUUCCACAGUU